UUUUAGGUCCUCCUGGCCCCAGGGGUCCAAAAGGCGACCGAGGGCAGCAGGGCCCCCCCAGGUCCCACUGGCAACAAGGGACAGAAAGGAGAGAAGGGGGAGCCCGGGCCGCCGGGCCCCGCCGGCUGCCCGCCUCACUGGAAGAACUUCACGGACAAAUGCUACUAUUUUUCGGUUGAGAAAGAAAUUUUUGAGGAUGCAAAACUUUUCUGUGAAGAGAGGUCCUCACACCUUGUUUUCAUAAACUCGAGAGAAGAACAGCAAUGGAUAAAAAAGCAGAUGGUAGGGAGAGACAGCCACUGGAUUGGCCUCACUGACUCGGAGCAGGAAAACGAAUGGAAGUGGCUGGACGGGAUGUCUCCAGAGUACAAAAAUUGGAAACCUGGACAGCCAGACAACUGGGGUCACGGCCACGGGCCAGGAGAAGACUGCGCUGGGCUGAUUUAUGCUGGACAGUGGAACGAUUUCCAGUGUGAAGACGUCAAUAACUUCAUUUGUGAAAAAGACAGGGAGACAGGUAAGCCGUGAAGGGGAUUUGAGAGAGA